GAAACCUGAAAUUCCUUUGGGUUGACUCAGCUACUGGGACUAUUUUAAGAUGAAACGUUGCACUUAGUCAAUAUUGUUUGAUUAUGAGUCCUCCCUUUCCCCAUCCCCCCUCUCCUUUUUGCUUCUCAAACAGGUCUCCAUAGCACGUAGUGGUGACGAAGUCUAAUUGUUUUUAAUACAGUCUUCCUGCACAUUGAACACUAAAUCUUACUGGUGUUGGAGUGGGGACAUAGCAUUCACUUGUCACCAGCCAGGUAUCCCUAAAGACCUCACUGCCCCGUUAAUGCAGCACUAUUAGUCCAGGAAGAGUCAUGGGCUGGCCUCUGCUUUGGAAGGAGGUGAUGAAACCUGAGAUGAAGAAAGUCAUGAAGUCAGUGCUCAAGUGCUGUGGUGUCAUUUUAUCAUAUCCUCAGCAUCAAAGUUCUGUCCUCAGAUACUUAUUUUUUUUUUUAACAGAGAUGUGAGAGCUGUCACAGUGGCACCUUAAAGGGGUGAAUAUCUUCUGCUGUGCUCCUUCUAGUAUGCAGAUGACCUGACCUGGAUUUCUGCAGUGCUGGUUCCCCCCUACCAAGAUGCAGCCAGAUGUCAGACCCCAAAAGAGUCACUCUGCUUAUGGAAACAGGAAAUACACACAGCAAAGCAUUGCAAGAUACGGGGAUACCAACAGGCUGUGCUAGGGCAGCCACCUGGCAGAAGAAUGGGACCUCACUGCUUGGACGUGGGAUGUUUGCAAGAACAUUCCUCCCAAAUAAAAAGUUACAAUGA
rnacentral:lncRNA from 1 species